UGGUUGCAACUCGAAGGCUCUGACCUCACUUUCAGGGACACACCAUAAUACUGCUCACCGACCAGCCGAUCAAGGUGAUUUUGCAUCGAGCGGAUGCUCUGGGAGGAUAGCGAAGUGGGUAGUCGAGCUCACGGAGUUCGACAUCGACUAUCGACCUCGGUCGGCAAUAAAACCCCAGAUAUUAGCAGACUUCGUGGUGGAAUGCACUAUCCCAG
rnacentral:lncRNA from 1 species